rnacentral:rRNA from 1 species
AUUGAACGCUGGCGGCAUGCCUUACACAUGCAAGUCGAACGGUAACAGGUCUUCGGAUGCUGACGAGUGGCGAACGGGUGAGUAAUACAUCGGAACGUGCCCGAUCGUGGGGGAUAACGCAGCGAAAGCUGUGCUAAUACCGCAUACGAUCUACGGAUGAAAGCGGGGGAUCGCAAGACCUCGCGCGGACGGAGCGGCCGAUGGCAGAUUAGGUAGUUGGUGGGAUAAAAGCUUACCAAGCCGACGAUCUGUAGCUGGUCUGAGAGGACGACCAGCCACACUGGGACUGAGACACGGCCCAGACUCCUACGGGAGGCAGCAGUGGGGAAUUUUGGACAAUGGGCGCAAGCCUGAUCCAGCCAUGCCGCGUGCAGGAUGAAGGCCUUCGGGUUGUAAACUGCUUUUGUACGGAACGAAAAAGCUCUCUCUAAUACAGGGGGUGAAUGACGGUACCGUAAGAAUAAACACCGGCUAACUACGU